AUUGAACGCUGGCGGCAUGCCUUACACAUGCAAGUCGAACGGCAGCACGGGAGUAAUCCUGGUGGCGAGUGGCGAACGGGUGAGUAAUAUAUCGGAACGUGCCCAGUCGUGGGGGAUAACGUAGCGAAAGCUACGCUAAUACCGCAUACGAUCUAUGGAUGAAAGCGGGGGAUCGCAAGACCUCGCGCGAUUGGAGCGGCCGAUAUCAGAUUAGGUAGUUGGUGGGGUAAAGGCUCACCAAGCCGACGAUCUGUAGCUGGUCUGAGAGGACGACCAGCCACACUGGGACUGAGACACGGCCCAGACUCCUACGGGAGGCAGCAGUGGGGAAUUUUGGACAAUGGGCGCAAGCCUGAUCCAGCAAUGCCGCGUGCAGGAUGAAGGCCUUCGGGUUGUAAACUGCUUUUGUACGGAGCGAAAAGGCUCUCUCUAAUACAGGGGGCUCAUGACGGUACCGUAAGAAUAAGUACCGGCUAACUACGUGCCAGCAGCCGCCGUAAGAC
rnacentral:rRNA from 1 species